rnacentral:lncRNA from 1 species
GCUAUGCCCACUGAGUAUUUUUAUACUCAGCCCUGCAUGUAUUUCUAAAUGUGCAGGUUGAGCAGCUGAUGGAAUGGAAUGAUGUUGAGCGGGUGUUCCUUUGACAUUUCAAGAAAUGUAACCUUGAGUAUACAUCUUCAUAUGUAUAUCUCACACGUUUUCCGCUGCAAAACACUUUGAUUAGGAUAACUUUAUGUUAUGAAAUUGUGACACGUGUUAUUGGGUAACCCACCUUAAUCAGUUCUCAUUUAUGUGUAUGUUUUAUAAGUAUCCAAAUAAUCAUAUAUGAUCCUAGCAUUUUAUCUAUGAGUGAUAUUUCCAUAUACUUUAAUGUUAAGUAAUUGUCCA